rnacentral:rRNA from 1 species
UACGUAGGGUGCAAGCGUUGUCCGGAAUUAUUGGGCGUAAAGGGCUCGUAGGCGGUCUGUCACGUCGGGAGUGAAAACUCGGGGGCUUAACCCCGAGCCUGCUUCCGAUACGGGGCAGACUAGAGGUAUGCAGGGGGAGAAUGGAAUUCCUGGUGUAGCGGUGAAAUGCGCAGAUAUCAGGAGGAACACCGGUGGCGAAGGCGGUUCUCUGGGCAUUACCUGACGCUGAGGAGCGAAAGUGUGGGGAGCGAACAGG